CCGCCAUCACGCAGGCGGCAUAAAUUAAAGUUUUUUUAAACGCACGUUGCGCAGAAAGUGAAACUACCGACCAAAAGUGGACGGAACAGCGGCUGUGACGCAGGACCGGACAAAUACAAACCUCCCUACGAGGACAGGAGCGCUAGCAUCGUGGAAACUGGCAGAAUUCAUUGGUCUCAUCCACUCGGUAGGAAGAACAUUUUAACCAUCCGGUAAACGCAAGUGGAAUUCCAUUCUUGCGGAUCAAUCGCUACCGCAUUGUCCGUUGAGUGAGCCAGGAUUCGACGGAUCAAAGCAGAUUGUCGCUCUGAGGAGUGGACGAAAACGGUUCCAGUGACAGCAAACAACGACCAAAGUCAUUGAAGGCCAUUGGUUUUUGUGCCGGAUCCAAUUCGUCAGCUGUCGGUGCGCGAUCGAUGCGGUUCGGCUGGAGAAAAAGGGCGUGCUAGCCUCGACGAGGGGAUCCAAGCCAUCGGUGUGGACCGGCUUCGGAACUGUCGGGGGGUGUGCACUGGUGCGAGAUUGGUGACUGUGGCGUGCGGAAACAUCGUCAUCCCGACGAGAGGAUCGACUGCCUCGGAGGGACCCCAUCGAGCUACCCGGUCGUGCUGGACGGCCAGAGGGGUCUCCAGCAGAGGAGUACCGUCGGUGAGAACCUCGGGAACGGCAUGCGAGAAUCGCGGUGGCGAAAUGACUGCCGUGCAGGUGAAGCGUAGGGGGACGCCCCGAAGCAACCGUGAGUAAGGAAGACAAAUGUUAGUUUGUAAGAAAAUGAAGAUAUAGAGAAAGGAGAAGAGAGAGAUGCUUAGGAGGUAGGAAGAAAGUGGGAUCAAUCCCCAAA